CCUCUUAGAAGAUAAAGAAUGUGAUAUUGGGGAUGUGGGCAAUCUUGUAGCGAUCUUCUCCUCCUUCUCGGCAGCGUUCUUCUAAGACUGGACAUUGGUAGAUAUUCAGUUUUUGAAGCAUGGUGAGGUGUUGCAACUCCUCUGGUAGAGACCUUAAAUUAAAACAAUACUUGAUCUCCAGAGUUUGGAGGGCUUUGAGUUGUCCCAACCAACCACAUGGGAACGAUGUCAGCUCUGGACGGUUCCAAAUCGCCAAAUGGUUAAGGUUGGGGAGGACGGGUAAGGGCACACCGGAUGACAUUCCAACAUCACUU